CAGCAGUAGCCGCGGGAAUACAGAGGGUGCGAGCGUUAAUCGGAUUUACUGGGCGUAAAGCGUGCGUAGGCGGCUAAUUGAGUCGGAUGUGAAAUCCCCGAGCUUAACUUGGGAAUUGCAUUCGAUACUGGUUAGCUAGAGUGUGGGAGAGGAUGGUAGAAUUCCAGGUGUAGCGGUGAAAUGCGUAGAGAUCUGGAGGAAUACCGAUGGCGAAGGCAGCCAUCUGGCCUAACACUGACGCUGAGGUACGAAAGCAUGGGGAGCAAACAGGAUUAGAUACCCCGGUAGUCCCUGUCUCUUAUAC
rnacentral:rRNA from 1 species